rnacentral:rRNA from 1 species
UGAGCAAUCUGCCCUCAGCUUCGGGAUAAGCCUCGGAAGCGGGGUCUAAUACCGGAUAUCACUUCGAAUCUCAUGGUUCGGGGUUGAAAGUUCUGGCGGUUGGGGAUGGGCUCGCGGCCUAUCAGCUUGUUGGUGGGGUAAUGGCCUACCAAGGCGUCGACGGGUAGCCGGCCUGAGAGGGCGACCGGCCACACUGGGACUGAGACACGGCCCAGACUCCUACGGGAG